rnacentral:rRNA from 1 species
CUACGGGGUGCAGCAGUGGGGAAUAUUGCACAAUGGGGGAAACCCUGAUGCAGCGAUGCCGCGUGGAGGAAGAAGGUUUUCGGAUUGUAAACUCCUGUCGCAUGGGACGAUAAUGACGGUACCAUGUGAGGAAGCACCGGCUAACUACGUGCCAGCAGCCGCGGUAAUACGUAGGGUGCAAGCGUUGUCCGGAAUUACUGGGUGUAAAGGGAGUGCAGGCGGGACUGCAAGUCAGAUGUGAAAACUAUGGGCUCAACCCAUAGACUGCAUUUGAAACUGUAGUUCUUGAGUAAAGUAGAGGUUGGCGGAAUUCCUAGUGUAGCGGUGAAAUGCGUAGAUAUUAGGAGGAACAUCAGUGGCGAAGGCGGCCAACUGGGCUUUUACUGACGCUGAGGCUCGAAAGCGUGGGUAGCAAACAGGAUUAGAUACCCCCGUAGUC